CAGUAGCCACGGUAAUACAGAGGGUGCGAGCGUUAAUCGGAUUUACUGGGCGUAAAGCGUGCGUAGGCGGCUUCUUAAGUCGGAUGUGAAAUCCCUGAGCUUAACUUAGGAAUUGCAUUCGAUACUGGGAAGCUAGAGUAUGGGAGAGGAUGGUAGAAUUCCAGGUGUAGCGGUGAAAUGCGUAGAGAUCUGGGGGAAUACCGAUGGCGAAGGCAGCCAUCUGGCCUAAUACUGACGCUGAGGUACGAAAGCAUGGGGAGCAAACAGGAUUAGAUACCCCUGUAGUCCCUGUCUCUUAUAC
rnacentral:rRNA from 1 species